AUUUUCCGCUCAGAAAUUCCGGUUCCUGGCGUUGUGCCGCGCUCCUGGGAAGUUUCCGAAGUAAAGUUCAGUGUUCUGAGCGCCGGAACCGGGGUGGCAAGAGGCCCCGCCGUGCCUGGCGAACCUGGGGACCUGAAAUCUUUGCUUUCACAAUCAUCUCUGCAUUGCCAACAGCAACAAAAAAUGAGUGGAUCCCUGGUGAGUUUUUUGCUUAUGUCUUUCUUUACUUUUUAGGAAUUUUUUAUUAACAAUGUGCUCCAAAAUUAAAAUGGGAAUGUAGAAAAUAU